AAUCCAUGGUUUCUUUAGUGAGUACCCCACACGUGUUUUCUUUUUGAAUACCUUUAAUUACAUUUCUUUCACCGAAGGAUCCAAGAAAGCUCACAACACUUGCUUUUUCUUUCUAUAGCUUUUUCUCCCUUUGCUUGGAAAAUAAUGACUCCCGUAAGAAUCCAUGGUUUCUUUAGUGAGUACCCCACACGUGUUUUCUUUUUGAAUACCUUUAAUUACAUUUCUUUCACCGAAGGAUCCAAGAAAGCUCACAACACUUGCUUUUUCUUUGUAUAGCUUUUUCUCCCUUUGCUUGGAAAAUAAUGACUCCCGUAAGAAUCCAUGGUUUCUUUAGUGAGUACCCCACACGUGUUUUCUUUUUGAAUACCUUUAAUAGACAAUUUGUUGCUUGCAGGAAUAAUUGCCAUGCACAUCAUGAUGUGGAUCGCACAUGACCAAAAGAGGCCAGAGACACUCAAUUCUGCUGUUUAGAAGCUGUUGAUGAAACCCAAGUCACUUCUGCUGUUUCGCGGAACUAGAGUUUACAAUCUAAUCUUUACCCUUUCUGAAUUCUGAGCCACUAUAUUGGAUCUCGCGGAACCAGACUAUGCUCAUUUUAACUUGCUAAAUUGACUAAAAUACUUGCAUCUAGUCAAUGCAGUGCUCAUAAGGCACGCAGGAACCAUUGCAUAAAAAGAAGUGCUAAAUCAUAUUAUCAGUUGUUUCUUAAGGAUUCUAUAGUGUCUAUAGGUCUAGGUGAUACGAGACCACAAAGGGAAUGUGUUGAGAUUCUUUCAACUUGAAAACCAUUUAGGAAGACAGCUUGAAAUCUCUGCCUGGUGUAUUACCAUUCCUUUAUUAUUUAAGUUUCUAGACUUCCUAUUCUGUAAUUUAGAAACAUUUUUUCUUUUGUAAAUACAUUCUUAGAUAAAAAAGUUAAAUGCCUUACUUGCCUUUCCAUUCUGUAAUUUAGAAACAUUUUCUCUUCUGGAAAUACAUUCUUACAUAAAAAAGUUAACUGCAUUACUUGCUUCCCACAGUUUAUUUAUCCUCACUAACAUGUUAGUAUUACAGUUUCUCCACCUCUCCGUGUCUUUCUCACCGUUUUUGCUUCUGUGCAUGGAAGAUUACAUGUUGAACCUUGACCAAAGUAGUCCAUCCUGUCUGGAUUUGAUUCAAGAACUGCAUAUAUUUAUAUUGUUUGGAAUUGUUCACUGGAUAGGGAUUGUUUGUGGAAGUCAAACUUCUGGUUGUCAAAAAAUAUAUAAAACUUCUGGAUUGAAUAAAGAGAGAAAUACAGGAGUAUUUUGUGCUAAGGUGUUUUGGUUGGUCAAGUUUCGCUUCAAGGAGUUUGUGCUGUUGUAAAUAGGAUUAGUUAUUCCUUGUCCAAAGAAAAAAAAAAAUUAAAUGAUAUUCUGGAGGAGAAUUUCAGUUGGAAAAUGUAUGAGUUGCAAUAGUUUAAACUUCAUCGAAAAAUGCAUUAGGAAUUAAGCUUAUCAUUUCUUGAAAAAUUUGGAAUUAAAGAUGUUUCUGAUUGUUCUCAAUUAUGAGAUCAUUUGUUAGGUUGAAGAACAGAAACCCAAGAAGAAGGCUCAUGGUGAAAAGGAGCCCCGGAUGAAGCACCAUCAUAGCUGUUUAAAGAAUCAAAAGCAUUCAUCAUCCAGGAAACAAUCAGAUUUAGAAAAUGUCACUGCAGAAGGGGAAAAGGGGAAGACUAGUAGACAGAAAUCUUGAUGUUGUAGUAUAGCCUCAUAAAUUGAGCAAAUGGAAUUAAAGUCUAAAAUAGCAUGUGUUAAAUUAGAAAAAGAUUCAGAAAGUUAUUUAUUUUCUGUUAUUGUCUUUCAUUAGUAUAAAUACAUUCAGUACUUGUAAUUAAUUCAUUCACACGAAAGGUUUUCAUUUCAUUUUUCCUCUGCUUCUAUUCUGUGUUCAUCAGAAAAUUGACAUGGUAUCAGAUUGAAAAUCAUUCUUGCUUCUGCAAAUUCAUCUUCUCGUCUCUAAAACUUUGAAUUCUUGAAAUCUGCAUUACAAAAUUCUGCUCGAGAAUUUUUGUUGUUGUCUUCUUCGUCUUCUUUCAUUUCUUGCACUUUCUCUAAUAGAUUCCCGAAAUGGAUUCUACCAAUUCUGCCACUUCUCCUCGCUCUGUCAUAAAUCUCUCAGAUUAUUCCUCUAGUCCUUAUUAUCUACAUCCAAAUGACAAUCCUGGUGCCCUCCUCGUUUCAGAAAUUUUUUCUGGAGAUAAUUACAUUGCAUGGAGUCGAUCAAUCACCAUGGCAUUGACUGUCAAGAACAAGGUGGCAUUCAUUAAUGGUUCGAUUGCUGCUACUCCUGCUGAUCAACUUGUUCUUCAUAGUGCUUGGCUGCGUGUUAACAAUUUGAAAAUUGACACUUGAUGUUGAUGAAAAGGAAAGAGAAGGCAGAGGGUAUUGUGAUUCAAGUCAUCACAAUGGGAUUGAGUCACACUUCAAGCGUCACAAUGUUGCUCCCAAACUUUCAGAGGAAGAGCGGGCUACUAGGCGGUAUGAGAUGCAAGUGGAUGUUGAACUGCAUGAAGAGCAAAGAUGGAAACGUUUGAGGAAGGCUGAGGAGGACGAUGGGUGAGAAACUACCCAUGCCAGCUUAUCUAGCGGCAGAAAUUUCUUGGAUGCUGCUCAGAAAAGUAUCUAUGGUGCUGAAAAAGGGGGAAGCUGGGUAGGUCUGCAGUUGAUUGCUGCCUAUCCUGAAUAGUUUUAGCUGAUAACUCCAGGUUUGCUUCUCCGCCUUGGCCCCCCUGCACAUGGGGUAUCUCUCAAGUAUUAGCUUUGAACCAUGUAUUGAAAUAUGAAUAGGGCGAAGUGAUAAUCGCAUUCUUUCACAAUUUACUUCUCCUUAGGGGCUAAUACCUUCCAGUAAAACUUGGCUUGAAAAUGAGGUGCCAAUUACUGACAUCUCCAGGCGUAAAUGUUAUAUAACACUCGCCAUGUGUGUGUUCUAUCACGUUUACAAAUUAAGGAUGACAAUGAAAAUUCAACCACUUCUUAAGGAAUUGAUUGGUUUGUUCUGUA